rnacentral:lncRNA from 1 species
UCCAAAUACCAGCUGAGUGUCCUACAAUUCAGGUCAAUUCUGCCACUAACUGGAGUUAGUGCAGAUCUCCAAGUUCCCUAUGGCACAAAUCCACAAGACUGCCCCCCACUUCAGAUGCCAAUUGCAAGUCAUAGGUUGCCAAGUUCUGCACAACUUGGCUGCAAAUCAGAGGCUCCAGUGACCCCCUUCUGGGGUUCAAUAAUUUGCAAGAACAGCUCACAGAAUCCAGGAAAACAGCUUACUUACCAUUGUCUAUUUAUUACAAAGGAUAUUUUAAAGGAUAAAAUGAGCAGCCAGAUGAAGACUUACAUGGGCAAAGUUCAGAAGCGUCCUGAGUGCAGGAGCUUCUAUCCCUGUGGAGCUGGGGUGCGUUACCUUCUCGGGGCAGGUUGUUCCUUGCAUGCUAAGCCAGGCCAUGUGAAGAUAAUGAAGUCCCGCCUCGGGCUACCGGACACCGUUUGUACCAUCAGGCCAUCCUGUCCAAGUCUCCUGGGGUCUUUGCCUGCUUGUUUAAACACUGAAGGCCAAGAUGAAAAAGUACACUAAUUUCAAGCUGUGCUGGGAGCACAUAUACACUCGGACAUGAGCAGGGGAACUGAGGAAAUGAAGCUGCUUUCAGGACCAUCCUCGGAGAUUCUCUAAACGAUGAGGAACAGAUUAAUUCAAACUGAUGGCAGGGAUUCAGAAAGCCCAGAAUUACAGACCCGUCAUCUUUUAGGACUGAAAACCAGUUCCUGUUUACUUUAUCUACAGCUAUGACUUUUUUCCUGUCUUCACAAUUUCUUCAUGUGCGCUUGCAUUAACGGGAAGAUAUUUUUACAUCAUCUUGCUUAUCUUUUAUAAUAGCUUUUCCUGUUGAACUUCAAUAGGCUAAAAAUUCAGUGUCAUUAUUUAUCCUAAGACUGAAGAACUGCACAUCUUGGAAAAGCCCUUACUCUGAAUUUAUUAGAGGGGCAUUUAAAAAAAUAAAGAGAAGUCAAGAAAAUAAAAUAAUCUCUGAUUGGGAGGCUCUCCCUGCCUCUCUGCCUCCAUAAUCCUAAACCAGCUGCGGUGUUCCCAGAUCACAAACAUUUAGGCUUGUGUCCACUGUAAAGGUUGCUUCAGAAUUUUCUACCUGGAUGUCUGUAUAUCCAGAUAUGAAAUGACUGGACACUGUAGGUGGUGAUAAAUUCUUCCACCCUGAUUACUCAUGAAGCAGAAAUAAUUAGUGCCUACCUAACCUGUGAAUAACUAUUUGAAUUCUGCUAUUUUCAAGGGUAAGUGGAAGAACUAGUAACCCAGUUUAUAACUACCAGUUGGCCCGAUCACCUUUGCCUCAAAGACCUGCCCCUUGGGAUGCUGUGAUAGGUUUAGUUUUUGCCAAGUACCAGUGCUAUUUGAUAGUCUCACCUUGCCUGCUCUUUUGUAUAAGUGUAGCCCAUGCUGUGCAUUGCACGCAGUGGGUACUUAAUAAAUACUGAAUGAAUGCAGCUUAUCAUCCAUCAUUUGGUCUGUUUCGGUCUCAGUUUCCUCUAUGUAAAGUGAGAUUAUUAGCAAAUGAGUG